AUUGAACGCUGGCGGCAUGCCUUACACAUGCAAGUCGAACGGUAACAGGUCUUCGGAUGCUGACGAGUGGCGAACGGGUGAGUAAUACAUCGGAACGUGCCCGAUCGUGGGGGAUAACGGAGCGAAAGCUUUGCUAAUACCGCAUGCGAUCUACGGAUGAAAGCAGGGGACCGCAAGGCCUUGCGCGGACCGAGCGGCCGAUGGCAGAUUAGGUAGUUGGUGGGAUAAAAGCUUACCAAGCCGACGAUCUGUAGCUGGUCUGAGAGGACGACCAGCCACACUGGGACUGAGACACGGCCCAGACUCCUACGGGAGGCAGCAGUGGGGAAUUUUGGACAAUGGGCGAAAGCCUGAUCCAGCCAUGCCGCGUGCAGGAUGAAGGCCUUCGGGUUGUAAACUGCUUUUGUACGGAACGAAAAGACUCCUUCUAAUAAAGGGGGUCCAUGACGGUACCGUAAGAAUAAGCACCGGCUAACUACGUGCAGCAGCCGCCGCGGUAAAAC
rnacentral:rRNA from 1 species